GGGGAUGUAGCUCAGUGGUAGAGUACUUGUCUACCAUACAUAAAUGCCUGGUAUCAAUUCCCAGUACCUCAA
rnacentral:tRNA from 1 species